GGUUAAGCGACUAAGCGUACACGGUGGAUGCCCUGGCAGUCAGAGGCGAUGAAGGACGUGCUAAUCUGCGAUAAGCGUCGGUGAGGUGAUAUGAACCGUUAUAACCGGCGAUUUCCGAAUGGGGAAACCCAGUGUGUUUCGACACACUAUCAUUAACUGAAUCCAUAGGUUAAUGAGGCGAACCGGGGGAACUGAAACAUCUAAGUACCCCGAGGAAAAGAAAUCAACCGAGAUUCCCCCAGUAGCGGCGAGCGAACGGGGAGGAGCCCAGAGCCUGAAUCAGUGUGUGUGUUAGUGGAAGCGUCUGGAAAGGCGCGCGAUACAGGGUGACAGCCCCGUACACAAAAAUGCACAUAUUGUGAGCUCGAUGAGUAGGGCGGGACACGUGGUAUCCUGUCUGAAUAUGGGGGGACCAUCCUCCAAGGCUAAAUACUCCUGACUGACCGAUAGUGAACCAGUACCGUGAGGGAAAGGCGAAAAGAACCCCGGCGAGGGGAGUGAAAAAGAACCUGAAACCGUGUACGUACAAGCAGUGGGAGCCUCUUUAUGGGGUGACUGCGUACCUUUUGUAUAAUGGGUCAGCGACUUAUAUUCUGUAGCAAGGUUAACCGAAUAGGGGAGCCGAAGGGAAACCGAGUCUUAACUGGGCGUUAAGUUGCAGGGUAUAGACCCGAAACCCGGUGAUCUAGCCAUGGGCAGGUUGAAGGUUGGGUAACACUAACUGGAGGACCGAACCGACUAAUGUUGAAAAAUUAGCGGAUGACUUGUGGCUGGGGGUGAAAGGCCAAUCAAACCGGGAGAUAGCUGGUUCUCCCCGAAAGCUAUUUAGGUAGCGCCUCGUGAAUUCAUCUCCGGGGGUAGAGCACUGUUUCGGCAAGGGGGUCAUCCCGACUUACCAACCCGAUGCAAACUGCGAAUACCGGAGAAUGUUAUCACGGGAGACACACGGCGGGUGCUAACGUCCGUCGUGAAGAGGGAAACAACCCAGACCGCCAGCUAAGGUCCCAAAGUCAUGGUUAAGUGGGAAACGAUGUGGGAAGGCCCAGACAGCCAGGAUGUUGGCUUAGAAGCAGCCAUCAUUUAAAGAAAGCGUAAUAGCUCACUGGUCGAGUCGGCCUGCGCGGAAGAUGUAACGGGGCUAAACCAUGCACCGAAGCUGCGGCAGCGACACUAUGUGUUGUUGGGUAGGGGAGCGUUCUGUAAGCCUGUGAAGGUGGCCUGUGAGGGUUGCUGGAGGUAUCAGAAGUGCGAAUGCUGACAUAAGUAACGAUAAAGCGGGUGAAAAGCCCGCUCGCCGGAAGACCAAGGGUUCCUGUCCAACGUUAAUCGGGGCAGGGUGAGUCGACCCCUAAGGCGAGGCCGAAAGGCGUAGUCGAUGGGAAACAGGUUAAUAUUCCUGUACUUGGUGUUACUGCGAAGGGGGGACGGAGAAGGCUAUGUUGGCCGGGCGACGGUUGUCCCGGUUUAAGCGUGUAGGCUGGUUUUCCAGGCAAAUCCGGAAAACCAAGGCUGAGGCGUGAUGACGAGGCACUACGGUGCUGAAGCGACAAAUGCCCUGCUUCCAGGAAAAGCCUCUAAGCAUCAGGUAACAUCAAAUCGUACCCCAAACCGACACAGGUGGUCAGGUAGAGAAUACCAAGGCGCUUGAGAGAACUCGGGUGAAGGAACUAGGCAAAAUGGUGCCGUAACUUCGGGAGAAGGCACGCUGAUAUGUAGGUGAAGCGACUUGCUCGUGGAGCUGAAAUCAGUCGAAGAUACCAGCUGGCUGCAACUGUUUAUUAAAAACACAGCACUGUGCAAACACGAAAGUGGACGUAUACGGUGUGACGCCUGCCCGGUGCCGGAAGGUUAAUUGAUGGGGUUAGCGGCAACGCGAAGCUCUUGAUCGAAGCCCCGGUAAACGGCGGCCGUAACUAUAACGGUCCUAAGGUAGCGAAAUUCCUUGUCGGGUAAGUUCCGACCUGCACGAAUGGCGUAAUGAUGGCCAGGCUGUCUCCACCCGAGACUCAGUGAAAUUGAACUCGCUGUGAAGAUGCAGUGUACCCGCGGCAAGACGGAAAGACCCCGUGAACCUUUACUAUAGCUUGACACUGAACAUUGAGCCUUGAUGUGUAGGAUAGGUGGGAGGCUUUGAAGUGUGGACGCCAGUCUGCAUGGAGCCGACCUUGAAAUACCACCCUUUAAUGUUUGAUGUUCUAACGUUGGCCCGUAAUCCGGGUUGCGGACAGUGUCUGGUGGGUAGUUUGACUGGGGCGGUCUCCUCCUAAAGAGUAACGGAGGAGCACGAAGGUUGGCUAAUCCUGGUCGGACAUCAGGAGGUUAGUGCAAUGGCAUAAGCCAGCUUGACUGCGAGCGUGACGGCGCGAGCAGGUGCGAAAGCAGGUCAUAGUGAUCCGGUGGUUCUGAAUGGAAGGGCCAUCGCUCAACGGAUAAAAGGUACUCCGGGGAUAACAGGCUGAUACCGCCCAAGAGUUCAUAUCGACGGCGGUGUUUGGCACCUCGAUGUCGGCUCAUCACAUCCUGGGGCUGAAGUAGGUCCCAAGGGUAUGGCUGUUCGCCAUUUAAAGUGGUACGCGAGCUGGGUUUAGAACGUCGUGAGACAGUUCGGUCCCUAUCUGCCGUGGGCGCUGGAGAACUGAGGGGGGCUGCUCCUAGUACGAGAGGACCGGAGUGGACGCAUCACUGGUGUUCGGGUUGUCAUGCCAAUGGCACUGCCCGGUAGCUAAAUGCGGAAGAGAUAAGUGCUGAAAGCAUCUAAGCACGAAACUUGCCCCGAGAUGAGUUCUCCCUGAGACUUAGAGUCUCCUGAAGGAACGUUGAAGACGACGACGUUGAUAGGCCGGGUGUGUAAGCGCAGCGAUGCGUUGAGCUAACCGGUACUAAUGAACCGUGAGGCUUAACCUU
rnacentral:rRNA from 1 species